rnacentral:rRNA from 1 species
UACAGAGGGUGCGAGCGUUAUCCGGAAUUACUGGGUUUAAAGGGUGCGUAGGCCGUUGGGCAAGUCUGUCGUGAAAUGCUCCGGCUCAACCGGAGGACUGCGAUGGAAACUGCCCGACUUGAAUUGUGGUGAGGCUGGCGGAAUGUGGCAUGUAGCGGUGAAAUGCAUAGAUAUGCCAUAGAACACCGAUUGCGAAGGCAGCUGGCCAACCAUUGAUUGACGCUGAGGCACGAAAGUGUGGGGAGCAAACAGG